rnacentral:misc_RNA from 1 species
GCUUGCACUCAGGGCACAGGGUUGACAUACACAGAGGCACACACUGCUUUUAUCGUCCUUAUUUUCGUGCGAGUCACCAUGUGGACGCAAUGCAGCCGCGCGCUCCGCGGGCGGUCGGAGCGUGGGCUUUACUUCCCCAUCAAUCACCGCAUUGUUGAUCAGCGUAACACGUUAGCUUCUGGAGCGGAGGAGGCCGAUAUCCAGUCGCGGUACCGGCGCCAGCUGCGGUCGAGUUUCGUGACGAGGGAGACGCGGCAGACAGAGCCGCCAGCGUGGAGUCGGAGCACUCGCCCUACACACUUUCUCUCGCUUCCGCUGCCAUCCCGGUGCACGCUGCGGGUGCGCGUGAAGGAGAUGCACGAAAGCAUGAUAUUCGCCAAUCAAAGCAUCGAGCCGCUUCUGAUUCCCGCCUCGAAGCUGCACGUCACCUUGGGGGUGAUGACCAUCGGUGGAGAGACAGCCACAGCAGAGGCUGCCUCAGCCGCCGCAGCACCUGAUGUGCUGGCGGCCAUUCAAGAUUGUGUCGACCAGGCGUGCCACGAUACGUGCAAGGAGCCGCUGCAGCUGCGCUUUCGAGGCCUCGGCACCUUUGGACAUGGCCGUGUGCUGUUUGCGGGAUGCAUAACAGAGGCGCACUUCACAACACUCGACACGCUUGUGCGCCGCAUUCGCAAGGACCUAGGGCUUGGUUUAGGCGUGGACAUGAAAGGCAACCCGCACGAUUCGUACGUGCCCCACGUCACGGUCGCUAAGAUCCGCCCAUCGCAGAUUGGCCAGUUUGGCCGUCAGCUCCCCAUUUCGAUGUGGGCGGAUCACCAGCAUCACGACUUUGGCGACGUCACCUUCAAUAGAGUCGAUCUGUGCAGCAUGAAGGGUGAGGGAAAGAAUGGGUACUACCACGUCGUGUCCUCGGCCGCGGUGCAGUAGGUAAGCGCUGCAGGACACAGGUGCAACGCGCGCGCGUGGGUGGCCAAGGUGCCAGCGCGUCCCCGGCGGCAGGCUUGUGUGUGCGUGUGUAUGCAAUCAUUUCCUGCACUGUGGUGACCACGAGAUCCUCUGUGCGGAGAGGUUUCUUCGUUGUUUUCUUCCUUGUGCGGUCUUGUACGCUCGUUGGCGGUGAUGGCGGGCUUCUCUCCCCCCUUCGCCCCUUUCCAUCCGCCCGUUGGAGAGGGAGGGAGAGAGACAAGGAGCGUUCCGUGACGCCAUGGAGAGACUCAUCACCUCAAUGAAGCGAAUGCGCACGGACUGCAAAGCCGAAGACACAACGACGCCAGCAAACAGACCGACUUCAUGUGACCAUAGUUGGUGGAGUGACUGCAGCUGGAGCGCGUGGUCGCAGACCACGCAGUGU